rnacentral:lncRNA from 1 species
NNNNNNNNNNNNNNNNNNNNNNNNNNNCGCGGCGGCGGCUCGGUGCCCGCGCCAAGCUCCGGCGGAUCCGGCUGGGAUCCUCCGAGGCGGCGCUUUCCCAAAGGUUUUGCUCCGUGGGGAAAGCGGCCUUUGCCGGCGCCGGCUGCGCCGUGCACCUGGGCCCGGAGGUUGCAUCAUGCCGGGCCGAGCCGGAGCCUCUGCCGCCGGCGGCUGCGCGCGCAACCCCCUGCCCGGCCUUUGGCACCCAAUUAGCCGCGCCGAGGUUUGCUUUUCCGAUUCCCCACCCGGACCCGUUAUCGCAGGUAAUUGCAGGGAGCGGCAGGUCAGAUGGGAGCUGUGCAAGGGAAAAGGAGGAAAAGAAAAAGAAAAAGCAAAUUGCUCCCGGUUUGCCGAUUCCUGCACGUGGCGCCCGGUGCCUCUUCGACCCGCCUUUGCACGGAAAUUUGGGGAAGGAGGAGGGUCUGCGCUCCCGCGGAGCGCCAGCACGCUGGGAGAGACCCAUCCCCCCCCGUGCUGGGGUCCCCGUCGCACCAGGGUUGCCAUUGCACUGGGGUCCAUGUUGCACCACGGUGCUGGUCCCCAUUGCACCGGGGUCCCUGUUGCACUGGGGUCCCUGUCCCUAUUGCACUACGGUCCCCGUUGCACCGCGGUCCCCGUUGCACUGGGGUCCCUGUUGCACCGCAGUCCCCAUCCCCGUUGCACCAGGGUCCCCAUUGCACCGGGGUUGUUGUCCCCAUUGCACCGGGGUCCCUGUUGCACCGUGGUCCCCGUCCCCGUUGCACUGGUGUCCUCAUCCCCCUUGCACCAGGGUCCCCGUUGCACUGGGGUCUCCGUCCCCAUUGCAUUGGCAUCCUCUUCCCUAUUGCACCGUGGUCCCCAUCCUCAUUGCACUGGCGUCCUCGUCCCCAUUGCACCAGGAUCCCCGUUGCACUGUGGUCCCCGUCCCCAUUGCACUGGGGUCCCCAUUGCACCGUGGUCCCCAUCCCCAUUGCACUGGGGUCCCCGUUGCACCGUGGUCCCCGUCCCCAUUGCACUGGCGUCCUCAUCCCCAUUGUACCGGGAUCCCCGUUGCACUGUGGUCCCCGUCCCCAUUGCACCAGCGUCCCUGUUGCACCACGGUACCCGUCCCCAUCCCCACUGCACCAGGGUCCUCGUCCCCAUUGCACUGGGGUCCCUGUUGUACGGGGGUCCUUGUCCCCAUUGCACCAGGGUCCCUGUUGCACCGCUGUCCCUUGCCCAUGCAUGGCCUGUCCCAAACCUGGUCCGGCGCGGGAACGGUCCCGUCACCAUCCCUUAGGAGCCGCCGGGGUUUUAACCCCCGCGGCGGCGGUGGCGUUUCGCGUGAAGAGGCGCAACAGCGGGCAAACGCGGGCUGCGCGCGCCGGGCCGACCCCGCGAGCGGAGCCGCGCUCCUCUCCCCCGCCGGAAGAAACUUCUUCCAACCGCGCC